rnacentral:rRNA from 1 species
UACGUAGGUGGCAAGCGUUGUCCGGAAUUAUUGGGCGUAAAGCGCGCGCAGGCGGUCCUUUAAGUCUGAUGUGAAAGCCCACGGCUCAACCGUGGAGGGUCAUUGGAAACUGGGGGACUUGAGUACAGAAGAGGAUAGUGGAAUUCCAGGUGUAGCGGUGAAAUGCGUAGAGAUUUGGAGGAACACCAGUGGCGAAGGCGACUAUCUGGUCUGUAACUGACACUGAGGCGCGAAAGCGUGGGGAGCAAACAGG